GCCGCCACCGGAAUCACCCACCGGCGGCGGGCCACCUCCAAAUUAACACCAUAUAAUCUCCACAACCUCCUCUUCCCAUAUCUCCAAACCAAUUCCUUCAAAAAACCCUCAAACUCAUUGAAUUUUAGAUCUAAGAAACUUUAGCCGCCACUUUUUGGUCCAAAUUCUUGAAGCUCCGGCCAACACCACCCUACAACACAUACAUGAAUGGAUAGAGCUCCACGAGACCUAUCUUUUCCUACCCAUUUUACCCCCAAAAUCCCCGUCGCCGCCACGGCUCCACCGCCUCACCACCGCCAAAAUACCCCGAACCCCCAUUUUAGCUAUUUUUCGGCUUCAAGCAUACUUGUUAGAUUCUUGAUGAUAAUAAGAAGGAUUUGAUCCCGGUUUGGUUGAUGGAACAUAUUGGAUCUGAUUUUUGUUUCAAGAUGAAUGUUAUAUUAGUAUUAUCAUUAUGUAAAUCUGUUAAAGAUUAGUUAAAUUAUCGUUUUCUUCUUUAUAUAUGUAAUUGAAAUUGCAUUUUAUUAAGAUUACUUAGUUUAAAAAAAAGAUAAAGACCCCACUUUUAAUCA